rnacentral:rRNA from 1 species
UACGUAGGUGGCAAGCGUUAUCCGGAAUUAUUGGGCGUAAAGAGCUCGUAGGCGGUUUGUCGCGUCUGCUGUGAAAACUGGAGGCUCAACCUCCAGCCUGCAGUGGGUACGGGCAAACUAGAGUGCGGUAGGGGAGAUUGGAAUUCCUGGUGUAGCGGUGGAAUGCGCAGAUAUCAGGAGGAACACCGAUGGCGAAGGCAGAUCUCUGGGCCGUAACUGACGCUGAGGAGCGAAAGCAUGGGGAGCGAACAGG